rnacentral:rRNA from 1 species
GACGAACGCUGGCGGCGUGCUUAACACAUGCAAGUCGAACGAAGAGCGAUGGAAGCUUGCUUCUAUCAAUCUUAGUGGCGAACGGGUGAGUAACGCGUAAUCAACCUGCCCUUCAGAGGGGGACAACAGUUGGAAACGACUGCUAAUACCGCAUACGAUCUAACCUCGGCAUCGAGGAUAGAUGAAAGGUGGCCUCUACAUGUAAGCUAUCACUGAAGGAGGGGAUUGCGUCUGAUUAGCUUGUUGGAGGGGUAACGGCCCACCAAGGCGAUGAUCAGUAGCCGGUCUGAGAGGAUGAACGGCCACAUUGGGACUGAGACACGGCCCAGACUCCUACGGGAGGCAGCAGUGGGGAAUCUUCCGCAAUGGACGAAAGUCUGACGGAGCAACGCCGCGUGAGUGAUGACGGCCUUCGGGUUGUAAAGCUCUGUUAAUCGGGACGAAAGGCCUUCUUGCGAAUAGUUAGAAGGAUUGACGGUACCGGAAUAGAAAGCCGCGGCUAACUACGUG